AGUGAACGCUGGCGGUAGGCCUAACACAUGCAAGUCGAGCGGCAGCACAGUAAGAGCUUGCUCUUACGGGUGGCGAGUGGCGGACGGGUGAGGAAUACAUCGGAAUCUACUUUUUCGUGGGGGAUAACGUAGGGAAACUUACGCUAAUAGCGCAUACGACCUACGGGUGAAAGCAGGGGAUCUUCGGACCUUGCGCGAUUGAAUGAGCCGAUGUCGGAUUAGCUAGUUGGCGGGGUAAAGGCCCACCAAGGCGACGAUCCGUAGCUGGUCUGAGAGGAUGAUCAGCCACACUGGAACUGAGACACGGUCCAGACUCCUACGGGAGGCAGCAGUGGGGAAUAUUGGACAAUGGGCGCAAGCCUGAUCCAGCCAUACCGCGUGGGUGAAGAAGGCCUUCGGGUUGUAAAGCCCUUUUGUUGGGAAAGAAAAGCAGCAGGUUAAUACCCCGCUGUUCUGACGGUACCCAAAGAAUAAGCACCGGCUAACUUCGUG
rnacentral:rRNA from 1 species